UCUUUCCUACCAGUGGAAACAAUAAAGUUGGGAUUUAUAGGUUAGACACACAUCAAGGAUGCAGCAGAUCGCUAUGGAUGUCAGUUGUGUGGAUCCAACAUAUCGCUAUGGAAGCAAACAUUGUGGUUCUUCUCUAAGCCAUGCUCUUUAGCAUUAUUCGAUGGUAGAUGAUCCAGAAGACAGUGAUAGUGAAGAUGAUGAAGAUGAACAAACCGGUUAGACUGAAAUCGAAAUUCGCCUCUUUGUUUUUCAUUCUAUCACAUUAGGUACCUUCAAUAUUCAGCGAGAAGUCAUUCUUUUUGUUUAUUUUGUUUAUUUGGAUUAUUAAUUGUUGUUUCUAAUUCUUAAGGAAAUUUUCUGCUUGCAACAAAACAAUCGAAAGACCUUUUGUCCUAUAUGCAAUCGGUCACAAAGUGUCGUCUAAAGAGGUCUCGAAACCAUAAUUCGAUAGUUCUUCCUUAAUUGUCAACUGUUGACUAACGAUUUGAUUCUACUUGUGAAAGAAAAUUGUGAGUAUAAGUUAAAUAUGAUAAUCGCUUUUUGGUGAUAUUGGGAUUAAUGAUUUCAUUCGUCGUAAUCGCUCUUCUACUUUUCCCUUUCGUAGUGCUAAUGAUUAUAGUAAUCUACGAUAAUGAAGAAACGGUACCAAUCGGUAAAUGAAUGAUGGUUUUCUCAUUUGUUGAUUGAUGUGCAUCUUUUCUAACUGUUCUCUUUGCUUUUGAAAGGGACU